rnacentral:lncRNA from 1 species
CCGGCUCCUUCCUGGACUCUGCGGGGACGGGUCCGAAGUAGAGAAAGUGCAAAGCCGGAGAGUUGGUGGCUGGGGUAGGAGGCGCGGCCCGGGGCCAGCAGCCGCCGCGAGCCCGGCGUGGGAGGCAAGGGGCGCCGAGGGGCAGAGAUACUGGAGUCGUUUGCCAUUUCCUUCUCCUAGCCCAUUUUACAGAUGAGGAAAUUGAGGUCAACAGUGUUAAGUGCCAUGCCCAGGGUCACACAGUUGAUUGCCAAAAGUUCAAAUGAGGCCAUGUUUGCAAAGUGCUACAAAAAUGUAAGUUACAUUGAGGCAGCUUAUGGGUCAAUAGAUCCAAUGUUAAGGUCACACCAAGUUUCAGCCACUGGGCCAACUCCUACGGAUACAAAUACAAGCAAG